UUUUCCGUACCUGAGAUGGAAAAUGCACUGCACAUAUCCACGUGUCGCAAACUUUUCCUCCACGUUUUCACUGAAGAAGUUUCUUUAAUGUACCGGUAAUUGAGGCAACUUGUUUUUGUUCUUUAAUGUAUUAGUUGCAGAUUUCUUUUUUCGUUUUACGUGUCUGUGUAGGAAGGUUACUUUUAACGUUAACGUAUUAGAAAAAGAAGAUUUCACUUCUCACACUAGCGUGCUAGUGUAGUAACGUUUUUAACUUGAUGUAUCGGUGAAAAAGUCGUUUUCCCGUAUCAGGUACGCAGAUUUCUCUUCUCAUUUAUGUAUUCAUGAUAACGAUUUUUUCAUAUGGAGGCAUGUUACUUCUGUUGCUUUUCUUUCUUUUUCAUAGAAGGACUUGAAUAUUUCGUGGAGAAGGCAAGGAUAUGUUCACAUAACGAGUACAUCAUCUUAUUGUUCUCAGUGUCUGUUGUCAUAUUUAUCCUGUGCUAUUUUACGGUGAUGUUUGUGUUGGGUUUCUGGGGCAUUCUUGUUGACUAGGUUAACGCGGAUAUUGACUAGGUUGACUAGGUUAACGCGUAUAUUCGAGGCAACUAGGAGGGCUCUUGUGUAUAUUUGUGGCAACUUUUACGGUUGUCGAGGAUAUUCAUUUGAACUUCUCACCGUUUUCAAAAGCCAUUAAUAAAUUAGGAGGUUCGUUAAUAAGGUAGAAGGUUUCUUCAAUCUAUUUAUUGGUAAUCGCCGUUAAAAUGCUGCUAAAUCUUGAGGUUUCCACCAAACCUUCUAUUGCAAAUAUUCAAAUUUUCAUCGCCGCGAUGUCAGUGAAGUCUUCGGAAUAAAGAGCGUAUAAGGCCCUCAUUUUAAACCAGUCUUUGAUUUCUAUGUCAAUUAAGCUCGUUUUGCUGGUGAACAGUAGAUGCAGUAUUAUAUAGGUGAACUGAUAUCGGACCAAUGAGGUAGGCUUCUGUCCAUAAUCAACAUUGUUCAGUGGCAUAUUCUUGGCAACAUUUCGGCAAGCGUUAUCUCCUACGCAAAAUUAUGACAUUUUCUCUUUCAAGGCAAAAAGGGCCAAUUUUUUGUUUUGAAGUGCCACCAUCACCACCUCCAUCCUAGCGUUGUCUGUCAUAUGCGUAACAUAAAACAAUAAAACUUUCUUUCAAAUACCGCUCUCCUUACUUGACGAGAAGUUCAAGUAAUAAAGGAUACAGACAACACUCCCAUCGCUUUACUUGAGCUUCAAAUCAACAUCGUCAUUAUUACACCUCUCUAACUUUAAAACCUCAUUUACUGAAACAAACUUCACACGUUAGCACCAAGUGAAAGUUACUGACUAGGAAAUUAAGUUUGCCUUAACUACCAACAAAAUAUUUAUUUUGUUCCGCAAUCGGUGUAACUUUGAAACCUUUUAGAACUUGUUGAAUGAAAUUGCGUAAAAAUUUCAGUGUUCGAAAUGGAAAUUCACUAAGAACAUUCAUCGCCAUUCAAUGCAUUCGAAUCUUACUGUGAAAUAUAAAACAUCAAUUCAUUUUGGGUGAAGUGAUCCCUAAAUACGAUAUGAUCAAUAUUACUAGCUAAUAUGCAGUUUCCAGUGAAUAUCAUUAAUAGGCCAUCACAAGCACGCCCGAUGUCGCACUUUGUGCACGUAUUGACAUGUGGAUCCGGGACUUGGGGUAACUUAUAAUGAUGAUAAUUAGCCGCACUUCAUACACCAAUUAACUCAUGGGGAGCAGAAACAUUUUAGUAUUAGGAUAAAUAAUAAUAAUUAGCGACACUUCAUACACUUAUUGACGAGUGCAGAGCAGACACGCGAGCCGCGCUCUACGCAAACACCAGACGAAGGUACGUGAUUGCUUGCUUUGCCUUGCACGUAUGUGACACUCAUUAGCUGUCGUGACUCCAUACCAUGUUUAUAGGUUCUCACGUGUAGUUUCAUUAAAUGAAUCUUAAUUGAAGCAAUUUACUUUAAUGACUUUGUUAAAAAUUUGUUGAUGUCAAACAGAACUUGAUAUGAAUGAAUGAACUUUUCACAGUGAAAUUAUUUGUAUCAUCAAUGCAAUUAGUAAAGCAUUUGGUCCUAAUUAAUGGGAAAUACUGAAAAAUUAUAUAAACAUUUAAUAAAAAUAAAGACACGAUUAACCCCUUUUGUUGCUCAAUUGAUUAUUAACUCUGGGAAGAAUAUCAUUAGAAUGAAUUCCAUCUCGCAAGACCAAAUUGCAUGCAGGUUCAUUAUUGUGUCGAACUUUUACUGGUCGAUACCACAUUUAACGCAAUUAAUAUACGCACAUUGAAUAUACUAGCUAUCUUAAUGCCAUAUCUACCCACUAACAUUGCAACCUUAACACCAACAUUACAUUGUUCCUAUUCCUACAGAUGCAAGCAAGAGCCUCCACAUGAAUAACACUACUCCCCAUAGUGAACAUUGGCCAACUCCUGCAUGAACACUGGUGGCAUCAUGAACAUCAACGAACAUCAUGAACAUUGGCAACAACAAUUGGACAAUGCCUAUCCAUCAUGAACAUUACGAACAUUGACGUGCUCUAUGAACAUCCAUGGGACUCGACAUGAACACAUGCCAUGGCUCCUGUCAGUUGCUGCAUAUACAUCGUUUUAUUGUACUUGACAUAUCCACUGCUUAGCAUGAAUUAGGUGUAUAAAUAUGCUAUAACAACAUUCUCAUGCCCACUUGAUGAACUUAUAGCUUGGAACGAAUUAAAUAUUCAAAGCUGUCAUCAUACUCACAGAUGGUAUAAUUCUCACAUGAUAUUGAUAGUCUAUGUCCACGAAAUUGCCACUUGAUCAGUUGUCUUUGCUGUUCCUGAAAUGCUCUACAAAUAAUAUUCGAGAAGCCUCGUUCAUUAUCUUAAUUUUGCUCCACAGGAUGUUCGUUAAUUCGUCAACGUUUGUAUUUACUAUCAUUUUUUAUCCUUGUACCAUUUAAGAAAUGUUAAGAUGUUAUUUGUGCGGCUAGUCGGGCAUGUGCGAUGGUGUACACGUUUAUUGUUUCUCUCGCAAUGUACAUACGUUGCACUGCUCUGCAGUCUCUAAUUUGUUGAUUCCCUUUAACUUAUUUAAGUCGUUGUAUAGUAUUUUAGCGUUGUUUUAAACCACAUUAGCGCCAGCUCGAUCAUCCAGAAAGUGUACAGCGCAGAAAGCUCCUAACUAAACUGCCGCAUUGCUAUUCAAACUUCAUCGACAUCAAACAGUACAAUUUACCUGUCAAAGCUCCAAGAAGAGCGAAUGGUAUAGAAUAUGUGGCCAAAUAAUAUAGAUGUCGCUAGUCGUGAUCAUAUUGGGUUAGUAUUCUCACCCGCGCAUUAAACGCAUUGCUAGAACUGGCAGUCCUGUUCGUCAUGUCACCCACGAGGCCCGGUGCGUGAAAUUCCUAAAACACGAAGACUGUUCUAGUGAGUGCACUUUCUUUUACUGAACGUUCUGGAGGAGUAGGAUUGUAUGCUUAUAGUCAUUAGUUGAUAUUGGUAUGAUUAUGACUAUUUUACUAGUUGUCUACUUUAAUAGCUGUAAACUUUACUUGUUGUCAACUUUACCUGUUGUCUAUUUCUACCUGAAGCGCUCACAUGAGGGAGGAGUGAAGAUCGAAAUGUCCGCUCUGAUAACGAAUAAAGAAGUGGAUAGAGAAACCAUGAGCUAUUAAUGGGGAAAUCUUGAUCUGUUAAUGGUCAAAUAUUCAAAUAUUGAUCUGCUGGUGGAAAAACCUUGAGCUGUUGAUGGCGAAGCUUGAUCAGUCAAUGGUUAGAACUUUGAACUUAUUUGAAUUUUGAUUAUUUCUUUUGCAGCUUGAAGUUUGUUGAGCAGUUGCGCCAACAUGUCGCAUAAAGUAGUGAUGUCUCCACACUUUUUAUUUUUAUGGUGUUUACUUGUAUGUGUUUUCAUUCAGUUGAAUGAGUUAGCUGAACAUUUCUUAUCUUGGAUGUGAUAUUUUUAAGAACUAUUUGUUUAUGAAUACUUUUCGAAGAUAAAUUUUUUAGAGAUUUGAUGAAUUUUAAAGUACCCUCAUUUAUGGACUAUUUAAAUUCUGGGAUAUUCCAUAAGAGCAUCGCUGAAGUUCCUAAUUCAUUCUUUUUGUGAGCUUCCGUUAUGUUCUCAUUAAAUUAGAACAAAAUUGGUCACUUGUGAAAAUUAUUCGUCAAUAAACGCUAUUUUGUUUGGUUAAUUAGUACUUAAUGAAUGUCUGAAGAAGAUCAAGAGCGUAAAUUUCCUUUCACUUCAAGCCACUCAAAUAUGUUUUUUAGGAUGAACAUGUUGCGAGGGAUGAUGAUAACUGUGCUUUGUUAACACAUCAAUAACCCGGCAUACAAACUAGCAAUAAUAAUAAAGAUGAUCACCUAAUUCAUGUUGGUCGUCAAACCAUAUAUCAUGAUGCCCAUCAUUAAGGUGAUGGACGUAAUUAGAAGGUAAUUAACUGUUUCUCCAGCGGUGCUGUUUGCUCAUCAUGUUGCCAGAUCUUGCUCGAUGUAACUACUUGAUCUGGGUCAUUUUUACGAUUAGAUCUGAAUAAAGGAUUAAUUUAUUA
rnacentral:lncRNA from 1 species